UACCAAGUCGACGAUCUAUAGCCGGUCUGAGAGGAUGAUCAGCCACGCUGGGACUGAGACACGGCCCAGACCUCUACGGAGGGCAGCAGUGAGGAAUCUUGCGCAAUGGGCGAAAGCCUGACGCAGCCACGCCGCGUGUCGGAAGACGGCCCUAUGGGUUGUAAACGACUUUUAUCAGGGAAGAACGAGGGGGUUUAGAUCUCCUGUGACGGUACCUGAUGAAUAAGCACCGGCUAACUCCGUGCCAGUAGCCGCGGUAAUACGGAGGA
rnacentral:rRNA from 16 species